rnacentral:rRNA from 1 species
CACCACAACAGGUGGAGCCUGCGGUUUAAUCGGACUCAACGCCGGGAAACUCACCAGAUAAGACAGCUGAAUGAUAGUCGGGCUGAAGACUCUACUUGACUAGCUGAGAGGAGGUGCAUGGCCGUCGUCAGUUCGUACUGUGAAGCAUCCUGUUAAGUCAGGCAACGAGCGAGACCCACGCCAACAGUUGCCAGCUCGUCCUCCGGGAUGGUGGGGACACUGUUGGGACCGCCUCUGCUAAAGAGGAGGAAGGAAUGGGCAACGGUAGGUCAGCAUGCCCCGAAUUAUCUGGGCUACACGCGGGCUACAAUGGGUGGGACAAUGGGUAUCGACACCGAAAGGUGAAGGCAAUCUCCUAAACCCAUCCGUAGUUCGGAUUGUGGGCUGCAACUCGCCUGCAUGAAGUCGGAAUCGCUAGUAAUCGCAGGUCAGCAUACUGCGGUGAAUACGUUCCCGGGCCUU